rnacentral:rRNA from 1 species
UACGUAGGGAGCAAGCGUUGUCCGGAAUCAUUGGGCGUAAAGCGCGCGUAGGCGGCUCGAUCAGUCUGUUGUGAAAGUCAAAGGCUCAACCUUUGAAUGCCGAUGGAUACUGUCGAGCUAGAGUCCGGAAGAGGCGGGUGGAAUUCCUGGUGUAGCGGUGGAAUGCGCAGAUAUCAGGAGGAACACCGAUGGCGAAGGCAGGUCUCUGGGCCAUUACUGACGCUGAGAAGCGAAAGCAUGGGGAGCGAACAGG